rnacentral:rRNA from 1 species
AAGUCGAGGGGUAGAGUAGCAAUACUUGAGACCGGCGCACGGGUGAGUAACGCGUAUGCAACCUGCCCUUUACAGGGGGAUAGCCCGUAGAAAUGCGGAUUAAUACCCCAUAGAUCCACAGGACCGCAUGGUCCAAUGGAUAAAGUAACAACGGUAAAGGAUGGGCAUGCGUGACAUUAGCUAGUUGGUGAGGUAACGGCCCACCAAGGCUACGAUGUCUAGGGGUUCUGAGAGGAAGAUCCCCCACACUGGUACUGAGACACGGACCAGACUCCUACGGGAGGCAGCAGUGAGGAAUAUUGGUCAAUGGGCGUGAGCUUGAACCAGCCAUCCUGCGUGCAGGAAGAAGGCCCUAUGGGUUGUAAACUGCUUUUUCGCAUGAAGAACAUCCCGAUCGUGAUCGGGACUGACGGUAAUGCGUGAAUAAGCACCGGCUAACUCCGUGCCAGCAGCCGCGGUAAUACGGAGGGUGCAAGCGUUAUCCGGAUUUAUUGGGUUUAAAGGGUGCGUAGGCGGCUUUUUAAGUCAGUGGUGAAAUCCUGCAGCUCAACUGUAGAACAGCCAUUGAAACUGAAGAGCUUGAGUGAUCUUGAGGUAGGCGGAAUGUGUAGUGUAGCGGUGAAAUGCUUAGAUAUUACACAGAACACCGAUUGCGAAGGCAGCUUACUAANGGUUUACUGACGCUGAUGCACGAAAGCCGNGGGGAUCAAACAGGAUUAGAUNCCCUGGUAGUCCACGCCGUAAACNAUGAUAACUCGCUG